UGGUGGAUCAGAUCGGCAGUUCUCACAUGCACAGCAGUGAUGAUCCAGAAGCAGCAAGGACUGCUAGCUCCAAGGUCACCACCACACUUGGAUUGGUCGUUCAUGCUGCAGCUGAUGGUGUUGCUCUUGGAGCAGCUGCGUCCACGUCUCAGACCAGCGUCCAGCUCAUUGUAUUU